AGCAGUGUGGUGCAGUGGUUUGAGUGUUGGACUAUGGCUCUGGAGACCAGGGUUUGAUUCCCAACAGGGCCA